AUAAAAGACAUCCUGGAGUUUCAAUUUUUUUUUUUUAAUUUUUCAAGAAAAUUGUCUAAGCUUGGUGUAAAAGCUUGGCACAUGGUUUUGAUUCCAACACCUGGGAGGCAGAAGUAGAUGGAUUUUUGAGUGGGAUGCUAGCCUGGUCUACAGUGAAUUCCAGGACAGUCAGAGCUAUAUAGUAAGGCCCUGUAUUGGCAAAAAAAAAAGAAAGAAAAGAAACAUAACUAAUAAAAUUACUGGUAGCAAGGAGUCUAAGAAGCAAUGAAAUAGAAGGCUGAUUUUGUUUUCUCUUCACUAGAAAUCAGUGAGGUAAACUGACCUUUUCCAGGUUUUUUGAUGACUGAACCUUUUAGCACAAUUCUCAUAGUAAAGAUUAUGACCUUUGGUCAUUAUUGAUAAAUAUAUUCACAAUAACAUUUGACCAAGCAAAUGUAUCCCUUGAUCCACACCAACGAACGUUAAAUUGUUUGACUUUGCCACUGUUUUAUGCAUAGAAGAUAGACUUAAUGCUUGGUGCUGGGGCUCAGCGCUGGCUUAGGUAAAAAUACAGCAGGAAGUACUUGAUUAUGCUCAUCAGCUCCACAAAGAGUCCUUGUGGAAUCUGUGAACCCAGUGAAAACCAAGGAAGCUCUUUGUUAUCCAUAUCCAUAUCCAUCCUCACUCACCAUAUGCCACCUGGAGAGAGAACCUUGGACAGGUGAGCCUGUGUUACCCAUGGGAGAGUGGUGUCACCAGGGGAAGGUUUUAGGAGAAAACUGACACUUUCCAUAGAUGAUAUUGAAAAAAUUUAAGAGCUGGAGAGAGAGAAGCAAUUAAAAUGAAGAGCUUGAAUUUUAGUUUAGUGCAAUUAAAGGAAAUUAGUAUUCAAGUUUCUGUUAAACAUGACAGUUUUAACCAUGGGUUAGUAAUGAACCCAACUUUUUCUUUCUUUUUUUUUUUUUUAAGAUAUUUUAAAUUUUUAUGUGUAUGGGUUAUUUGCCUGGAUCUGUAUGUAUACCACAUAAUGCGUGCCAGGUACCCACAGAGGUCAUAAGAGGGGUAAGAUCCCCUGGAACUAGAGUUAUAGUAGUGAGCCACAAUAUGAGUGCUGGAAUGGAACCCCGGACUCAUGCAGGAGCAUCGUAGUUACUGAGUCAUUUUUCAACCCCAUUCCCUGCUUCGAACAUUACUUUUUAUAUCCCUCAGAGUCGAUAUAUCUUUUCACACACAUCCUCAAAAUAAGGCCAUCAAGGGAACAGGAAGUCCUCUACCAUGCUUCUGAACUGUGUGGCGAUCUCUUCUCACAGGCCUCCCUGUCCAGUAGCUCCUGCACGUCCCAGCUCAUAUACACCACUUCCCUGGUAUCUGGGUUUAGCAUAAGGUAUUUUCUCACCAACAGAAAGUAGCCAAUCUCAUGAUCUCCCCAGACCGCAUCUGGCUGGCACUUGUGGUAUUUUCGGGUCAUUAAGAUUAUUUCCUUUAUGAAAAUUGUUGGAGUUCGUCAAAAGACCCUCACUCACAAAGACCACAGAGAUUGCCAUCGCUGCAAACCACAUGAGGAUUUUUAUUGAUCCAACAUGUUGGGGACUCCCCUCUCAGCAUGCAGGCCAGAGGAGAGACCCAGAACAAAGAACACACUUAUAUCUUGUUAUGGUGAUUUCUCUGAAAACAGCUAAUAUUAUUUUGGCAGUUGCAAGCUUAGUCAUUUUGACUGCUAAAACUUUUUACAUUUGUUUAGCCAGCUUCUUUAUCUGUCUCUGUACUUUGCCUGCUAGUACAGUUUGGAAAGUCCUUCUUGAAGGGGGAAGGUACUGGGUGGUCUUGAAUUUAUUUUGGAUAUUAAAAAGUAUAUUUGGAUAUUAAGAAGUUGGAACUGUAUUAAUUCAGUAAUAGAGAAACUGGACAUUUAGAUAGAAGGCAGCUCAUUUUUUUUCCCCUCAUUCCCUUCAAGGGUGCCACACAAGCACUUAAGCUUAAUUAGAUGAUAGGUAGAUCACAGUGAAGAGGGCACUGACCCUCUUGGGUUUCAUUUCCUGGCCACUAUGGUUUCCUUUUUCAUUUACAAUGAAGACCAUGUAUAUACAGGAUGCAAACCCAGUUAUGUACAAUAGGACAUACAAGUAUGUAAAAGAUUUCAGAAUGGAAAUGAAAACACUGGAGGGCUGAUGAUGGUUGCACAUGCCUUUAAUCACAUACUUCUGAGGCAGAGGUAGGCAGAUAACUGUGAGGGUGAGGUUCACCUCUACAAAGCAAGUUCCGGGACAGCCAGGCUUACUUACACACACACCUCCUAUGAAAAACAGCAAUCACCACUCAAGCUCCAGUACAGUGGCUUGUUUCACAGCAAGUCCUGUGGACCAGGAUUGGGCACUUCCACAGGAAAGCUGUUUCCUAUGCAAGACAGAGCCAUGUUAGCCCUGCAGCUACUUCCUGAGUUAGCAUUUUGGUGGAUGAAACUAGACAGCACUGUCAUAUGACAUUAUUCCUAUUAAAAGAUCCCUGAGCACAUGGAGAGGUACACUGAGCCCCAUGCUGGAGUGAGUGGGUACCUGGUCAUGAGAGAUGCCCAGCUCAGCCUGCAGACGUCUCAGGACUGCACUCCUCACUCAUUUGAACGGGUGUUGGGAACUUAACUGAGAUACUCUGGAAGAGCAGUGAACACUCUUAAUUGCUGAACUAUCUCCCCUAGCCUCUAACAUGUCCACAUUUAAAUAUUAAAAGUUGGCAGUGGCUCAUUAUCUCUACGUGACUCUACUAACAAUAAAUAUGUAGUGAGUGGAUGUAUGUACUAAAACAUUGUGGGGUUGUAGAUCUUAAAUUUAACUAGAAACUCCAGAUUGCCUGACAAUCAUGCUGCUGGUUCUUCACUUCCUUGCUUUUAUUUUAUACUCAUACACACACACACAGCACUCUGUAAUCCCGCACUAUUUGCAAAAAGUGGAACAUAUUUGUAGAAAAAUUAAAAAUAUUUUGUAUGG
rnacentral:lncRNA from 1 species